CUCCUCUCCUCUGCAUUUGAAAUUUCCAAGUGUAGAUCUAGCUUCAAGGAGCAACCCCAGAAUUCUAGGAAAGCGUACCUUUGAGACAACAAGCAUGCGUGUGAUCAGUCGAGAUGCGACCCUAUAUCUGCUUGAUGUGGACAACGGCAAGGCUCGAGACAUCGACUUCGCGACUGAUGGUUCAGCUAUGGGAUUGGCGAGAGCAGAGGAUGCGAGACGAUAUGAUGUGAGCGCUGGAGGAGGCCUUGGAAGGCACGCGGCCUAUGAGUCGGGUAUUGAGUGUGAUAAUUGAGUCUGUACUUGGGGGUGGGCAGAGUUUGUUUAUAGGGUUCGAACUUAAUCAUUAUGUUGUAAUUUGAAAGAAUCAUCGUACGCUUCCAAAGCUUUUAUUAAU